rnacentral:rRNA from 1 species
GACGAACGCUGGCGGCGUGCUUAACACAUGCAAGUCGAACGGAAAGGCCCUGCUUUUGUGGGGUGCUCGAGUGGCGAACGGGUGAGUAACACGUGAGUAACCUGCCCUUGACUUUGGGAUAACUUCAGGAAACUGGGGCUAAUACCGGAUAGGAGCUCCUGCUGCAUGGUGGGGGUUGGAAAGUUUCGGCGGUUGGGGAUGGACUCGCGGGUUAUCAGCUUGUCGGUGGGGUAGUGGCUUACCAAGGCUUUGACGGGUAGCCGGCCUGAGAGGGUGACCGGCCACAUUGGGACUGAGAUACGGCCCAGACUCCUACGGGAGGCAGCAGUGGGGAAUAUUGCACAAUGGGCGGAAGCCUGAUGCAGCAACGCCGCGUGCGGGAUGACGGCCUUCGGGUUGUAAACCGCUUUCGCCUGUGACGAAGCGUCAGUGACGGUAAUGGGUAAAGAAGCACCGGCUAACUACGUG